CUCUUUCUACUUCUUCGCCUACUCUCUUCCAUCUUCUCAUCUUCGGUUCCUGCAAUUUUUUUUCUUUUUUUUCGUAGAAAACCCUGCUCUUGCACAGAGGGAGAAGAGAACACUUCCACACUGUGAUUAGAGUCUAAUCUUAUUAUCUUUUUAUUGCAUCAUAUUCAUUGCCAUAUUAGAAAAAAAAAAUUAUUUUGAACUUCAAAAUUCUUUCUGGUAGGGGAAUUAGAGUUACAAGAACAACCAAUUAUUCUUCCUCAGACUGGAUUAGAGUACUCUCUACAUGUCCAUAAAUCCUUAUAGGGGAGUGGUGAGAUGGGAAUUCAUCAUGUUUCAAUAUUGGAAAAAAAAAUUGUAAUUAAGAAGUUUGGUUCUUUAGUGGUCUUUGGAGAGAAGAAGAAUGAACUGUUGAUUUGCAUAAUUUAACCUCUGAAUAUUCCAUCUAAAAAGCUGCUUCAUCAGCCCCAAAAUUCGUUCAAAAUUGAAGCAAAGGGCAAGUGGUUGCGAGGUUUGGCCUCUCCAGGGUAUCUCAAUGCCACCUAGGUGACAAUGGAUUUGAUCCUCUUGGACUUUCAGAAGACCCUGAGAACGUGAUAUGGUUUGUGCAGACAGAGCUCUUUAAUGGUUUGUGGGCCAUGUUAAGUGUAGCAGGGAUGCAGCCGCCAGAAGUCUUCACAAAGAUUUGUAUCAUCAAUGUACCAAAAUGGUAAUGCUGUUGCCCCUUCAUGUUUGAGGGUUUCGGUUCUACUAUGUUCAAAGAGCUUUUGUUUCUCUUCUAAAAAGUUCAUGAGCGUUGCUCUAUGAGGCUGCAGAGGAGAAUAAAAUUUGAGGAAAGAAAGCAAGCAAAUCAGAGAAGGGUACUUUCCAAUUCAGAGACGGUCCAGUGGUUGAACCAUGCAGUAGAGAAAGUCUAGCCAAUAUGCAUGGAACAAAUUGGAUCAUGGAAACUUCUUCCUCUCAUGCCUUGGUUCUUUGGAGAAGUAGACCUUGGACUACUGUAUGAAUUCACUUUCUGCGUAUUUGUAAUCCAGAGAUCAUCCUAAGAUGUACUUUCUUGCUGCAGUGAUUUGCUUUUAAUACCAUUAUCGAUAAUAUUUAGUAUGAAGAGCAUAACCAUUGUAUCCAGAUCUUUUCUUUUGUGGCCUUGAGUUGUGGUGUUUGUUUGAAGAAAUUUGGUUGAUAUUUU